GUAAUUAAAGGCCAGAUAAUUUAUACGAAUGUGCUUUUUAUACUGGUGAUAUCCCAGGUAAGAGAACUGGGGUUGCUUUUCUCUAAAUGAGCAUAAAUGUUUGGGAAGGGGGUGGCUGGAAGGCUGGAGGGAGAGGAAGGAAAGGGAAAACUGAAUACAUUUUUAUACUAGCCAUUACCAGCUGCUGACAAAUGUUCACUGUAUCCAUGGGGUGGGGGGAAAUCCCAGUCUCACUUAUCAACAGUUAAAAGUGGCAAAUGUUUUGUCCUUAAUUAGUUUCAUCUAAUUGUGUAUCAGUCUUAAAAACUGAUAACUCCAGAUUAGCUUACUGGAAAAUACAAGACAUAAAAAUUAGGGCUGUCUUUCCUAGGCAAAGAUUGUCUUACAGGCAAAAAUGCAUUUGUCAUGUGCCAGGCAAUUGGUACAAUGGGGGAAUCAGCCAGACUAAAUUAUUCUCAGGGGUCAGAAAACAGCCAAGUGACACAGAAUUAGACAAAUGGAAUCAGUGGGAAGGCCAUCUUACCAGUUUUGGCUAAUGAGAAAAGGUGACCUGUCUCACCUCUGAGUGGGGGCUGUGAAAAGCUCCAGUGCAAACUUCAGUCAGCCUGGUUUUCUGUGUGACCACGUGGGUCGGUCGGCCUGGUUCUCUGUGUGACCACGUGGGUCGGUCGGCCUGGUUCUCUGUGUGACCACGUGGGUCGGUCGGCCUGGUUCUCUGUGUGACCAUGUGGGUCGGUCGGCCUGGUUCUCUGUGUGACCAUGUGGGCCGGUCGGCCUGGUUCUCUGUGUGACCAUGUGGGUCGGUCGGCCUGGUUCUCUGUGUGACCAUGUGGGUCGGUCGGCCUGGUCCUCUGUGUGACCAUGUGGGUCGGUCAGCCUGGUUCUCUGUGUGACCCUGUGGAUCCGAAUGCCUGCCAACCUAUGUUGACGGGUAGUGUGAAUGAGAAAUAAACCUGGGAAUGUGUUAAGCCACUAAGAUUUUAGGGCAUUCUGACACAACACUCUUUUUCAAUGACCAUCACACCAGUGGGUUUCUCAGUGGACAUCCAGAGGAAAAAUAGGGUGCUA
rnacentral:lncRNA from 1 species